AAGUCAAGGAGUACAUGUACAAUGCUGUCAAUGUAGUAUGCUAGUGUGACAAAAUCCAUGUUCCCUCACGUUUGAUGUUGUCUCUUUCCACGUGAUCAAUAUUUUUGAAGUCCAAAGUUAUGAAUAGUAAUUAUCCUAUACUCCGUUUGAGUUUCAUUAGUGAAGAGUAUUCGUUUUUAUAGAAAAAAUAGCGGGAAGAGAUG
rnacentral:misc_RNA from 1 species